rnacentral:rRNA from 1 species
UGGCUUCCGGAGCUAACGCGUUAAGUCGACCGCCUGGGGAGUACGGCCGCAAGGUUAAAACUCAAAUGAAUUGACGGGGGCCCGCACAAGCGGUGGAGCAUGUGGUUUAAUUCGAUGCAACGCGAAGAACCUUACCUGGUCUUGACAUCCACGGAAGUUUUCAGAGAUGAGAAUGUGCCUUCGGGAACCGUGAGACAGGUGCUGCAUGGCUGUCGUCAGCUCGUGUUGUGAAAUGUUGGGUUAAGUCCCGCAACGAGCGCAACCCUUAUCCUUUGUUGCCAGCGGUCCGGCCGGGAACUCAAAGGAGACUGCCAGUGAUAAACUGGAGGAAGGUGGGGAUGACGUCAAGUCAUCAUGGCCCUUACGACCAGGGCUACACACGUGCUACAAUGGCGCAUACAAAGAGAAGCGACCUCGCGAGAGCAAGCGGACCUCAUAAAGUGCGUCGUAGUCCGGAUUGGAGUCUGCAACUCGACUCCAUGAAGUCGGAAUCGCUAGUAAUCGUGGAUCAGAAUGCCACGGUGAAUACGUUCCCGGGCCUUGUACACACCGCCCGUCACACCAUGGGAGUGGGUUGCAAAAGAAGUAGGUAGCUUAACCUUCGGGAGGGCGCUUACCACUUUGUGAUUCAUGACUGGGGUGAAGUCGUAACAAGGUAACCGUAGGGGAACCUGCGGUUGGAUCACCUCCUUACCUUAAAGAAGC